rnacentral:rRNA from 1 species
AUUGAACGCUGGCGGCAGGCCUAACACAUGCAAGUCGAGCGGAGCGGCGGACGGGUGAGUAAUGCCUAGGAAUCUGCCUGGUCGUGGGGGAUAACGUCCGGCAACGGGCGCUAAUACCGCAUACUAUCAGAUGAGCCUAGGUCGGAUUGGAUAGUUGGUGGGGUAAAGGCCUACCAAGGCUACGAUCCGUAACGGGGCUGAGAGGAUGAUCAGUCACACUGGAACGGAGAAACGGUCCAGAAGCCUACGGGAGGCAGCAGUGGGGAAUAUUGGACAAUGGGCGAAAGCCUGAUCCAGCCAUGCCGCGUGUGUGAAGAAGGUCUUCGGAUUGUAAAGCACGUUAAGUUGGGAGGCGUUACCAACAGAAUAAGCACCGGCUAACUUCGUGCCAGCAGCCGCGGUAAUAC